AGUCCGGAAAGAAGAAAGACACUAGUGAACUACCGCUUCAUGCAUAGCCUUGGAUGUACUAAUCCCGGGGUUUGAGAACCAAGUAAAUUUGGUGUUCCUUGUGUUUCUUGCCUUUGUUCUUUAAGUCGCUUUAUUCCGUUACGCUACUAACAACUCUGAUAGAAAAGAAUGAAGAAAUUUCAAUUAUGCUAUCCUACCCCCCCACUCUAGCAUUGAACAAGAUCCUACAAUUUGAUAUUCAAGCUAGGAGGCUCUUCAAUGGACUAAGCACCUGAGGAGCAUGCUAGAGGCUAGGCAAGUUCAAAAAUGCCCAUGGUCUUUGGACUCUAUUGAUCAAGCUUCAAGAGGAUCUGUCGAAGCUAGAAAGUCAAGUCGAACUUAAGUCUGAAUAUGAGUUGAAGCCCGAGUCUAAACCGUCAACGGUCAAGGGGGAGAAUCCUAAUGAGGACUCAAAAGGAGGAGCAAAUAUCAGGGACCCGAGCAGUAAGGAACAUGUGACAUGCUUCAAGUGCAAUGAGACCAGACAUUACAAGAACGAAUGCCCAUAGAGGAGAUCUAAGAAUAGGGGGAGUGAUUAAGGUUAGUGAUUUUAAAUGUUAUGAA